UGAGGAAUAUUGGUCAAUGGGCGGGAAGCCUGAACCAGCCAAGUCGCGUGAGGGAAUAAGGCCCUACGGGUCGUAAACCUCUUUUGCCGGGGAGCAAGGGCGGGGACGUGUCCCGGCCCGGAGAGUACCCGGAGAAAAAGCAUCGGCUAACCUCCGUGCC
rnacentral:rRNA from 1 species